GAUGUCAGCAGUGCCGUUAUUCCAGAGGAGGGGAACACAAGUGCCUGAUUAGUACUUGGAUGGGAGACUGCCUUGGAAGACCACGGGCUGUUAGCC
rnacentral:rRNA from 12 species